CCGGGCGUCGUUCUUUGACCCGUGAUCCUGUUCAAUAUUCCCGCUUUAUCCAACCGGUCAAUCAAAGUUAUGGGCUGCUCUUUUUCCUCCAGCUCCUGUAAAAAGCCCGUCCCAUCGGCAACGGGGAGUUUCAUACCAGGACAAAUGGUUCAAUUCAGCGGCUGAAUCAUUGACUGGAACCAAAAUGUGAGGACAGCAUUCCUGUGGGACGAGAGUUGAGUGGAAGCUCCUCUACACUCUAAUUGCGCCCCCCCCCACCCUCCCCUCCGCCCACCGACUGGGCUGGAUUUCUUUCCGUUGAGUGAUACAGAGCCCUGCUGAACUCCACAACACACUUCUCAGUGUUCCAAUAAUUAAAGCCCACUGAGAUUGUCAAGAUAAUGCAUCGCAGAACAAUAAGCUGCGUGAAUUCAAGGGACUCCGAUAACACGUCUGGUCGCGCUGAUUAAUUGCAGUGUUUUUGCAAUUGGCACAGCCCGUCUACCCUCCUCACCUGAGGAGACGAGCGAGCCAAGUGCAGACUUUGAGGCUUUGUGGAAGAUAUGCUAAUGUGUGGAGAUGGAACUUAUGAUCCAGAACUGCUGUACUCUGAGACGGAACAACAAGUAACGGCAGCUGAAGUCGGGAGGGAAGAAUGCGCGGACGGUUCUCGAGGACGCCGGAGCAGCCGGGGGAGACACUGGGACAACAAUGCAAAUGCCCCACGGAGAAGCCGAAGGCAAAAAAACCGUAACGCUCAACAUAACGACGGGCCGCUGUCAACGGAAUGUUAAGAAGCGUAAUCCAAAUCCUUCUCCUGUGCGGUGCCUCUGUUACCGAAGUCAUCUUGGUGGCAGCUGACCCCACCCUGCCUCCAACCACCACCCCCAUAGCAUGUGACAUUCACCAUUGUGCCGCAUUGACAUUAAGCUUCUCUUUUAUAAUGUAUUCAAAACUAAGCAAAGUGCCUGAAACGCAUACACGGUGAGACCAAAAGAUUUGUAACACAAAUGUUCUUCUUAAUACCAUAUAUCCAC
ensembl:lncRNA